rnacentral:misc_RNA from 1 species
ACCUCCCCUAAAUCACUCCAAAAAACAAUCCCCAAUUCUACACAAGUGUUUCUACACUAACAAAGCAACAGCUCCUUAACGGAAUUCCAACUUUACACGAGCCUAGGUUCUCUCGAGGUUAAAUGUUAUUACUUGGUAAGAUUCCGGACCUCGCCAAGUGUUUUGAAAACCCGCAACGCUCGGCAGAAGGUGGCAUAGUGAGAAUAAUGAAGUGAAGAGACAGACUUGUCUCAAAACGCCCACCACGAAGGUGCAUAAAGUGAGAAGAGUAAGUCAAGAGGAUAGACUUGUCCAAAAAGAAACGGAAGAGAAAAGCUUGGGGAGCACGCCUCACGAAGGUGCAUAGUGAGAAGAGUAAGUCAAGAGAUAGACUUGUUCGAAAAGAAACAGUAAGAGAAUGCUUGGGGUUACACUCACGAAGGUGCAUAGUGUGAGAAGAGUAAGUCAAGAGAAUGUACUUGUUCGAAAAGAAACAAAAGAGAAUGCUUGGGGGAGAUAGAAGUGUGAGAUAGUUCUCAAGCUAAGAAAGUUGUAAAGCUAAGAACUAGCAUCAAAUGAUGGAUGAAACACAAGGUAGUUGUUGAAAAGUCAAACACUUGGUGAUAUGAACACAAACGCUCAGCCAUGACAAACCCAUGCCAAGUAAAGAGAAAAUGAAAACCGGUGAUUGCUGCGGAAAUCGUCCAGAUUCCUCGACCAGGACUUGAAAUCGUCGAGGGGAAAAAAAAUCGAAACCCUGAGGAAUCGUCGAUCCUGACUUGGAAUCGUCGAGAAAAGUUUACCGGUCCGAGGAUUUGUCGAC